GUUACUACUUAUUAUAUUAGCGUUACCAGGAAUUCUGUCUUCAGUGUUCAGAAACCAGAUUUAAAUGUUCACGAAGGAUGAAAAACGUUCUGAGGAUUUGUCUGUUUUUCCUAAAUAAACACAGGUCGAAUUAAUUUCCCAUCGACUUCAGAUCAGUAAGGCUAGAUAGUGACGAUUUUGUCACGGUUUGGUAAAUUUACCCCUUUAAGAGGCUUUUCAUAAAUCCCAGAACACACCUUCGGCCAGAUUUGAAUAUAGAUUUACGUUUUAAACCCUGCUGAAGCCGAGAGCACCGCUUCAUUAAAAGGGACUUUUCCUGUAGCUCUGGGGGACUGUGCUGGAAUGAGUCCUUAAAGGCUGGACCUAAAAGAAUGAAACGCUUCUGUCGCACUCAGUCUCACAGACUGCAGUUCUGGGCCAGUUUUUGUUUGCAGGGUGUGCUGCAGAACUGUAAGGGAAUGACCUUUUUCACAUUUGCUGGUGUUGUUCCUAAAUGAAAGUUUUCAGCUAGAAAUAGCUCUUUCAUUUGGCUUGACUCUCAAAUCCAGAUUUCUCAGAGCUGCUACAGUAAGAAAACAGAUAAGCAACAGAGCAGGUUUGCACACGAGUGCACUGCAAAACCAAGGGGUUGUGCUCUUAAUGUCUGACACUUCUGGAUUUCUCUUUGCAUUUUCUUCUUUGCGAAAUGAAAGUGGUCGAACAGGUCUGGCAAAAUAGUUCAUAAAUGUGAAGAUAUGAAAAAAAUCUCUUAACAGCGAAUAAGAAAACUGAAGCUAAUCUUCAUUCGGCUCAUGGCUAUAUCAGGAAUUCUCUGCAAAGUGUGGCUAGCAGUAUAAAACAGAACUACUGUGUAAAAGUAACAAGACAAGCGUGCAAUAAUAAAAGCACGUAAAAUACAGUGAACUACUUCUGACGAAAAAGAAGUGACGAUGUGUCAUCACUAUCUUCUGAAUAAGCAGAGCAGUCAGAUUUUCAAUGUAAACAUACAAUAAGGCUUUCAUAAAGGGUUAAAUAAUAAGCCAAUUGUGAUUAUGAAAGUGAUUUUAUAUGCAUAGUGUGCACCCAAUGAAUAUCCAGAGAUAAUACCUUGUGAUACAGACGGACCUGUAAAGGUGGGUGCAUUGAGUGCGCAUACCUCAAAAAGUAUCUGUGUACAAACUUCUUUAGUAAAGUAAAAUAAAAUCCAUGGGCUUUGCUUCCAG